rnacentral:rRNA from 1 species
GGGGAUGGGAGAGCCUGACGCAGCACGCCGCGUGGGCGAGAAGGUCUUCGGAUCGUAAAGCCCUUUUCUCUCGGACGAGGAAGGACGGUACGGGAGGAAUAAGCGUCGGCUAACUACGUGCCAGCAGCCGCGGUAAAACGUAGGACGCAAGCGUUAUCCGGAUUUAUUGGGCGUAAAGGGCGUCUAGGCGGCGUCUUAAGUUGGGCGUGAAAUCUUCCGGCUCAACCGGAAGGGUGCGUCCAAUACUGGGACGCUUGAGGGCAGCAGAGGGAGGUGGAAUUCCCGGAGUAGCGGUGGAAUGCGUAAAUAUCGGGAGGAACACCAGUGGCGAAGGCGGCCUCCUGGGCUGUACCUGACGCUGAAGCGCGAAAGCGUGGGGAGCAAACGGGAUUAGAUACCCCGGUAGUCCACGCCGUAAACGAUGGAUACUAGGUGUCGGUGGUAUUGACCCCAUCGGUGCCGCAGCUAACGCAUUAAGUAUCCCGCCUGGGGACUACGGCCGCAAGGCUAAAACUCAAAGGAAAAUUGACGGA